AGCGGUUAGUUUCCUCCCUAACUUUUUGGGGCGUCCUUCGGGGCGCCCCCUUUUUUUGUCUGGA
rnacentral:sRNA from 1 species